UACGUAGGGUGCGAGCGUUGUCCGGAAUUACUGGGCGUAAAGAGCUCGUAGGUGGUUUGUCGCGUUGUCCGUGAAAACUCACAACUCAAUUGUGGGCGUGAGGGCGAUACGGGCAGACUGGAGUACUGCAGGGGAGACUGGAAUUCCUGGUGUAGCGGUGGAAUGCGCAGAUAUCAGGAGGAACACCGGUGGCGAAGGCGGGUCUCUGGGCAGUAACUGACGCUGAGGAGCGAAAGCGUGGGGAGCGAACAGG
rnacentral:rRNA from 1 species